rnacentral:rRNA from 1 species
GCAGCAGGCACGCAAAUUACCCACUCCCGGCACGGGGAGGUAGUGACAAAAAAUAACGAUACGGGACUCUAUUGAGGCCCCGUAAUCGGAAUGAGUACACUUUAAAUCCUUUAACAAGGAUCCAUUGGAGGGCAAGUCUGGUGCCAGCAGCCGCGGUAAUUCCAGCUCCAAUAGCGUAUAUUAAAGUUGUUGCGGUUAAAAAGCUCGUAGUUGGUUCUGCGUGCCACGCUGUCGGUUCGCCGCCUGUCGGUGUAACUGGCAUGUCGUGGCAUGUCCUGUCGGUGGUGAACGGGGUCCCUGGUGCGAUGUAGGCUUUUAUAGCUGAAAUCUGUGCCGUGUGUGUCCCCCGUUUGCCGAUCUCUCCUACUUCGGUGCUCUUAAACGAGUGUCGAGGUAGGCCGACACGUUCACUUUGAACAAAUUAGAGUGCUUAAAGCAGGCUAAAAUAUCUGCCUGAAUAGUGGUGCAUGGAAUGAUAAAACAGGACCUCAGUUCUAUUUUGUUGGUUUUAGGAAUAUGAGGUAAUGAUCAAUGUGGACUGGCGGGGGCAUUCGUAUUGCGACGUAGAGGUGAAAUUCUUGGAUCGUCGCAAGACGCACUAGAGCGAAAGCAUUUGCCAAGUAUGUCUUAAUUGAUCAAGAACGAAAGUUAGAGGUUCGAAGGCGAUCAGAUACCGCCCUAGUUCUAACCAUAAACGAUGCCAGCCAGCGAUCCGCCGAUGUUCCUUUAAUGACUCGGCGGGGAGCUUCUACUCGGGAAACCAAAGCUUUUGGGUUCCGGGGGAAGUAUGGUUGCAAAGCUGAAACUUAAAGGAAUUGACGGAAGGGCACCACCAGGAGUGGAGCCUGCGGCUUAAUUUGACUCAACACGGGAAACCUCACCAGGCCAGGACAUUGGAAGGAUUGACAGAUUGAUAGCUCUUUCUUGAUUCAGUGGGUAGUGGUGCAUGGCCGUUC